UGGAAUCAAAAUGGCGUUUUUUCUUUUCUAUCAAGCCUCGACAUUUGAAAGUGGUUAUAUUUGUGCAGCUGUAAGAACUCCGUGUUGAUAUUGUGGACUUGAAAGAAAUGUAUAGAGAGCAGAUAAACCUGCUUGUGAAUCAGAUUCAGAAAGCAAGUUCAUCAACAGGCACCAUCUGAUAAGUCUACUCCUCACUCUGGCCUAUUCCAGCAAGUCAUGAUAUUUUGAUGGUAUAGUUUUCUAGUAUAUGCUGUAAAUUGCUAUCUCAAGAGUGUUUUCUACCAUACAUCAUUCAGAGAUCACGUUUUUGUCUCUUCAAAGAGAUCGGCAGCGGCCUUAUCAGAAACACAUUUGUCAAACUUUAUGUUAAUAUUGUACAGCAUGAAUCUCUUUAAGGUUUUGGCAUUCUUAAGCUUGAAAGACUGAGUUUUCCCAUUGGUUUAAUAAUUAAACAAGAGGAUCUCAUUCAGGA